GCAGAUCAUGAAGUAGCUGCUCAGCACAUUAACUCCUUGGUAGCUGGACCAGCCAGGGAAGGCACUGCACACAAUAGCUUGGAGGAAUAAUAGAAGGCUCAGAGAAGACGUCAAACUCUGUGUGCCUGGCUCCUGCACUCUGAAGAGGAUG
rnacentral:lncRNA from 1 species